AUUGAACGCUGGCGGCAGGCCUAACACAUGCAAGUCGAGCGGAUGAAGGGAGCUUGCUCCUGGAUUCAGCGGCGGACGGGUGAGUAAUGCCUAGGAAUCUGCCUGGUAGUGGGGGAUAACGUCCGGAAACGGGCGCUAAUACCGCAUACGUCCUGAGGGAGAAAGUGGGGGAUCUUCGGACCUCACGCUAUCAGAUGAGCCUAGGUCGGAUUAGCUAGUUGGUGGGGUAAAGGCCUACCAAGGCGACGAUCCGUAACUGGUCUGAGAGGUUGAUCAGUCACACUGGAACUGAGACACGGUCCAGACUCCUACGGGAGGCAGCAGUGGGGAAUAUUGGACAAUGGGCGAAAGCCUGAUCCAGCCAUGCCGCGUGUGUGAAGAAGGUCUUCGGAUUGUAAAGCACUUUAAGUCGGGAGGAAGGGCAGUAAGUUAAUACCUUGCUGUUUUGACGUUACCAACAGAAUAAGCACCGGCUAACUUCGUG
rnacentral:rRNA from 1 species